UCUCAAUCUGUACAGCCCCAUUGAAAACAACUGCAUGCGUCUACUCCUGCGCUCCCCUGUAAUGAGGUUUAGUAAUGUCAUGAUCUAGAUCAACUCAAUAAUGUCUGAAACCCAUUAAUUCCUAGGUCAGUUGUUUGGCCUUAAUAUGUUUGCCUUGUCAUGAGUGUUAUAUGUCAGGUCUUUAUAACCAAUCUCGAUUAUUAGGCCUUAUAUGAUUGUUGUGAAAUGAAAUUGUUUGGAAUGGAUAUCUGGAAAGUAAACAAUUUUUUAUACUUUUCUUCCAAAUGAACAGGCUGCUGAUGGUGAUGUGCUGGCGUGCCCCUAGCAGUGAAUGCUUUCCUGUAACAUCUUAUGCUCUUUCUGGCCUCCUACUGUGUUAUGGUUGUGGUUCAUGUGUGUCGUACUCUACUUUAUUAUCUUGGUACUUGCCCACAGAGGAUACAGACAUGGACACUGACUGAUUGGCCAGGCCUCAAACUCCGUUAUUCAGGUAUUUAGGAAUUACUCAGGGAAUUUAAAAAUAUAUUGCUAACAACUUACCAUAUUAUUGAUGUGACUUUGCAGCCUCUCCAUGUGCAAACUUUUCCGGACCCACUAAAUUGGACUCAACACAACCGACAGAUGUGAUGAACUGAAAGCUGUUUGGCUCAUUUGAACCUGGGUGGAGUCACCUUUCAAUAACAUAUCAGUAUGGCUUCUUCUGUUUUCUUGUUUGAAAUGACAUUACCCAUGUUACUAUUUUGGACUAGCACCUUGUCAAAAAAGAAAAACAAACACACCCAGUAAUGUUUUAGUGGCUUUACUGACACAAUCUUUGUCAAAAUCCAAAACCGUUGAACAACAAUAAAAAGACAAUAUAUAUCA